GGCUGGUCUAAAGGUAGUGAAUUAUCUGAAUUGAUUGUACAGUUAGUUACAGAUUGAAUUCCUUGUUCUACUCUUUCCUUUCUCUCUCUACUGCUCUUGACCAGCCAAAA
ensembl:misc_RNA Y_RNA Y RNA